AUGAUGUCACUUUAUUUCUUGAAGUCCUCAGGUAUUCUCUGGACUAGCAGGAGAAUGAACAGCUCUUUAGCUAAAGGCCUCAUCUGGUGUGACUCUGCCUUCUCUCUCCAGAGAGGCAUACUGCAUUCUUACAUUCUGGAGAUAAAAGAAGAUAUCCUGGCUGCCAGCAAAGUGGGAGAUGAUGAUAAAUAGAACGAGUGGACCAUAUCUUACAACUAGAGCCAAAUUUCUCAUGCUCGCAGAUGGCAAAACCAGUUAACUCCCCUUCUGGAAUUAAACCUUAACGAGGCUUAUUUCUUUCUGGGCCUACCAUGGAUAUCAUUUACACUGGGUAAGAAUGCAAUUUGUUAAUUACUUACUGGACUCAAGCAUUUUAACAGUCUAGAGAAUCAGUUUUUAUUCAGAUGGUGUUACUUUCCCAGAGUUAC
rnacentral:lncRNA from 1 species